rnacentral:rRNA from 1 species
CUGUCGAGAAAAACCUCUAGCGAUGUAUAUACUCGGCCCGUACCCCAAACCGACACAGGUAGUCAGGUUGAAAAUACUAAGGCGUUCGGGUGAACUGUGGUUAAGGAACUCGGCAAAAUGCCCCCGUAACUUCGGGAGAAGGGGGACCCUAUGGCGUGAACACCCAUUUGCGGUGGGAAGCGUUGUGGGGUCGCAGAGAAUAGAGGGAAGCGACUGUUUAUCAAAAACACAGGUCCAUGCGAAGACGUUAAGUUGAUGUAUAUGGACUGACGCCUGCCCGGUGCUGGAAGGUUAAGAGGACCGGUUAAUCAAGCUUUGCUUGGUGAAGCUGAGAAUUUAAGCCCCAGUAAACGGCGGUGGUAACUAUAACCAUCCUAAGGUAGCGAAAUUCCUUGUCGGGUAAGUUCCGACCUGC